rnacentral:rRNA from 1 species
GGAUUCCCCUAGUAGCGGCGAGCGAAGCGGGAAGAGCUCAAAUUUAUAAUCUGGCACCUUCGGUGUCCGAGUUGUAAUCUCUAGAAAUGUUUUCCGCGUUGGACCGCACACAAGUCUGUUGGAAUACAGCGGCAUAGUGGUGAGACCCCCGUAUAUGGUGCGGACGCCCAGCGCUUUGUGAUACAUUUUCGAAGAGUCGAGUUGUUUGGGAAUGCAGCUCAAAUUGGGUGGUAAAUUCCAUCUAAAGCUAAAUAUUGGCGAGAGACCGAUAGCGAACAAGUACCGUGAGGGAAAGAUGAAAAGCACUUUGGAAAGAGAGUUAACAGUACGUGAAAUUGUUGGAAGGGAAACGCUUGAAGUCAGACUUGCUUGCCGAGCAAUCGGUUUGCAGGCCAGCAUCAGUUUUCCGGGAUGGAUAAUGGUAGAGAGAAGGUAGCAGUUUCGGCUGUGUUAUAGCUCUCUGCUGGAUACAUCUUGGGGGACUGAGGAACGCAGUGUGCCUUUGGCGGGGGUUUCGACCUCUUCACACUUAGGAUGCUGGUGGAAUG